CCUACGGGUGGCAGCAGUGAGGAAUAUUGGUCAAUGGGCGCGAGCCUGAACCAGCCAAGUCGCGUGAGGGAAGACGGCCCUACGGAUUGUAAACCUCUUUUGCCGGGGAGCAACGUGCGCCACGUGUGGCGCCCCUGAGAGUACCCGGGGAAAAAGCAUCGGCUAACUCCUGGCCAGCAGCCGCGGUAAUACGGGGGAUGCAGGCGUUAUCCGGAUUUAUUGGGUUUAAAGGGUGCGUAGGCGGAGCGUUAAGUCAGGGGUAAAAUUUAGGGGCUCAACCCCUGCCCGCCAUUGAAACUGGCGCUCUUGAGUGGAAGAGAAGUAUGCGGAAUGCGUGGUGUAGCGGUGAAAUGCAUAGAUAUCACGCAGAACCCCGAUUGCGAAGGCAGCAUGCCGGCUUCCGACUGACGCUGAAGCACGAAAGCGUGGGGAUCGAACAGGAUUAGAUACCCUUGUAGUC
rnacentral:rRNA from 1 species